AGAGAUCAUGAUGCAGACGUCCUUUUGGAUUUCUUUUUAAUAAUGUGUGACCCUUCACCUUUGAUCCCCUGACCUGCAUAUCCUUGCCUUAGGAAUCGGCAACAAAGCUGGAAUGUUGGCUGAAUCGCCAAGAAAACCCCUCCCCUCCCCCAGGUGUUCGCCACCACCUCCCGUGAAGCCUUCCGGACCCUCCUUUUUCCUACCCGCUCGCUUGAGUCCACAUGGGACCCUCAUCUUUUCAGGGGCGGAGGAGUGAAGCCUGGUACUUGCCAGUCAGUCAAUCCUAUUUAUUGAGUGCUUGCUGUGUGCAGAGCACUGUGCUAAGCGCUUAGGAGAGCUACAGUACAACAGACCCAUUCCCUGCCCACAAUGAGCUUACAGUCUAGAGAAGAGAGUUUGCUAGUCUUAGGUUUGGAAUGGACUCUGGAACGUCAUUAACCCAUUUCCCAGGAUUAGCCCGGUCUGUACUCAAAUCCUCCUGGAAACAUGGUGGCUUAUCCAUUUAUUUUAAACUCCGUAGAGAACAUUUCACCACCUUUCCCAGAAGACUGUUGAUCUAAGCAGCCCUAUCAUCUUCCUGUAAAUCUGGGAGCACCUUAAAAUGCUCCGCACACAGUAAGCACUCAAUAAAUACAAAUGAAUGAA